rnacentral:lncRNA from 1 species
GCGUAUUGGGGGUGGGGAGGGGCACAACCCCCUAAGAGUCUCUCUUGCUCCUGGACGGCAUGAUGGGAAGUGACCUGUUCCACUUGUCGAGAACUAGUGGACCCCAUGUUUCCCUCUAGCUUGGACACUAUGGUUCUCAGGAGGAAUCCUCACCCCCGGCCAGGAGCCCUUCUCCUCCACCUACUACUGCUGGGCUCUACCUCCCCCACUUUUAAUUUUAAGCCUUGGCUCAAAAUUCACUCCCCAAUAUUUCUCCCCUUCUCUCUACUUUCGUCCUCAAUAAUCCCAAGCAGCUGGGGUGUACAAGUCGUUUUCACCUCUUGGGACCGUGCUAAAGGGGGCAGCCUAUGAUUACCAUGAGGGUAUGGGAGCCCUGAACUGCAAAUCUAUCAUUUCCAGAGAAGCCAGAAAUCUGAAAUUUUCUGUGCAAUUUCUGAAACUUUAAAUCAGAAUUUUUUCUAAAAUUCAAUGGGUCAGAUACCACAGUCUGUGUAAUCAAUCCAUUCCAAAGUCUCCUCCUUUUGCUAAAGGAGAAGAUUCCUUAAAACAAGGCAGAAGCCAACUGAAGCAAGGGAGAACCACCUCCCACCCCUCCCCACACACACUUUCCACACCCAGUAACUAGGUCUCUGGGCGGAUAAUUCUGUUUUGUUUUGUUUUUUUUAAUUUUGGACAGCUAAUCUCUGUAGUGAGGAACCCAGAACUUUCGGUAAUGUAAGGGAUAUUAGUCUGGUUGUCAGAAAAAUGGGCUGGAGUAUUUGUGCUGUGUCCCUGACCAUAAUUCCUGCUCAGUUGCUUAGCUCCCUGGCAACUAUGUCUGAGGGCUAAACAGGAGUUGGUGUGAUCUUCCAGAAAAAGAACAGGCUUCUUGUCUUGCAGAGGCAGGAAGUCAGAAAACAAGAGUGUGUGUGUGUGUGUCAGGGGGUGGGGGGUGUCAGCCAGGAUCUUGGCCACUGCUCUCCAGCCUGGGUGACAGAGUGAGCCUGUCUCAAAAAAAAAAAAAAAAAGAGUGAGCAAUCCUCAAAGUAUCCAAGAACAACUACACGCCCCAAGGGGAAAACCAGCUGGAUUGCUUAGGCCUUGGCUGUAGUCACUAAAGAAUGGCAUCAAUCUCAGAAACCCUCAAGAUGGGGUCAAUUUAGGAAGAAGCUGUUUAUUCUGUACUGUCUUUGGCCUCCACCUAAGGUCUGGCAUCGACCCACCCUUCAGGCUCAUAGUUCAGCGAGGUUAGAGCACUUAGGGAGAAGCAGGUAACACAUCCAGGGUUUGAGAGAAGACCAGCACACAACUCUCAGUGAUCUGGAUAGAGGAAGACUAAAUUACUGUGGUUCAGGCAGCCUUGCCAGGUGAUGUCUUCCCAAAACUUCUCAGAUGUAUAUUCCUCCCUGAUUGUGCCACCUAGGCCUCCUUCCCUUCAGUUUGGGACUUAAAACUUCCACCAAUAACGUGAGUAUGUGCACCCAUGCAGCAGCCUGUCCGAGGACUCACAACUGGAGACACCUCCCUGCUUGGCGCUGCCCAGAAAACUAUGUAGAUGGCCAAGAAACCGACUUCCAUUAUAAAAUGUUUUUCUGUGUGUACCAGGAAAAAGAUGCUCAAAAUCCAAAUCACCACUUUAUUAUGUGGCAGUCACCAUGGUGCCAGCCUCUGCCUUCCCCAUGUCACCCUCCUAAUCCAGGGCUCUCCAACCAUAUUCAUGUUUGCGUUUUCACAAGUCAAUGUCCAUUAAGGCCUUGUGCUCCCCUUUUCUUCAGUACAGGGCAGGGCCCUUAUAAUUUGGGUCUCAAGAAUUGAUAGUUGUCUCUUAACUGGUUCUGGUGAGGCGCACUCACAGCAGUGAGUGGAGGGUCCUGGGAGGGCAUGGAUGACGGAGGCUGCCCCUAGAGGAGCUGGAUGUAGGAGCAGAGACAUUUCUUGAUCUUUCACUCUGCAAACUGGUCCAAGAACUUGAGAGGGGAUGACUUUGUCAGUGUCCCCAAAAACAUGGAGCGAAGGCAAUGACAAGGGCCUUUGCAGGAUGGAUUCCUUGAACCCAAUGCCCCGGGGACAGAAACCAGACACCAAGAGGAUAAACCGUGGCAAGGGGAAGCGGGGAUCGCCUGCCUGGCCCAGGGCACACAC